GACGAACGCUGGCGGCGUGCUUAACAUAUGCAAGUCGAACGGAAAGGCCCUGCUUUUGUGGGGUGCUCGAGUGGCGAACGGGUGAGUAACACGUGAGUAACCUGCCCUUGACUUUGGGAUAACUUCAGGAAACUGGGGCUAAUACCGGAUAGGAGCUCCUGCUGCAUGGUGGGGGUUGGAAAGUUUCGGCGGUUGGGGAUGGACUCGCGGCUUAUCAGCUUGUUGGUGGGGUAGUGGCUUACCAAGGCUUUGACGGGUAGCCGGCCUGAGAGGGUGACCGGCCACAUUGGGACUGAGAUACGGCCCAGACUCCUACGGGAGGCAGCAGUGGGGAAUAUUGCACAAUGGGCGGAAGCCUGAUGCAGCAACGCCGCGUGCGGGAUGACGGCCUUCGGGUUGUAAACCGCUUUCGCCUGUGACGAAGCGUGAGUGACGGUAAUGGGUAAAGAAGCACCGGCUAACUACGUGCCAGCAGCCGCGGUGAUACGUAGGGUGCGAGCGUUGUCCGGAUUUAUUGGGCGUGAAGGGCUCGUAGGUGGUUGAUCGCGUCGGAAGUGUAAUCUUGGGGCUUAACCCUGAGCGUGCUUUCGAUACGGGUUGACUUGAGGAAGGUAGGGGAGAAUGGAAUUCCUGGUGGAGCGGUGGAAUGCGCAGAUAUCAGGAGGAACACCAGUGGCGAAGGCGGUUCUCUGGGCCUUUCCUGACGCUGAGGAGCGAAAGCGUGGGGAGCGAACAGGCUUAGAUACCCUGGUAGUCCACGCUGUAAACGGUGGGUACUAGGUGUGGGGUCCAUUCCACGGGUUCCGUGCCGUAGCUAACGCUUUAAGUACCCCGCCUGGGGAGUACGGCCGCAAGGCUAAAACUCAAAGGAAUUGACGGGGCCUCGCACAAGCGGCGGAGCACGCGGAUUAAUUCGAUGCAACGCGUAGAACCUUACCUGGGUUUGACAUGGAUCGGGAGUGCUCAGAGAUGGGUGUGCCUCUUUUGGGGUCGGUUCACAGGUGGUGCAUGGCUGUCGUCAGCUCGUGUCGUGAGAUGUUGGGUUAAGUCCCGCAACGAGCGCAACCCUUGUUCACUGUUGCCAGCACGUUAUGGUGGGGACUCAGUGGAGACCGCCGGGGUCAACUCGGAGGAAGGUGGGGAUGACGUCAAGUCAUCAUGCCCCUUAUGUCCAGGGCUUCACGCAUGCUACAAUGGCUGGUACAGAGAGUGGCGAGCCUGUGAGGGUGAGCGAAUCUCGGAAAGCCGGUCUCAGUUCGGAUUGGGGUCUGCAACUCGACCUCAUGAAGUCGGAGUCGCUAGUAAUCGCAGAUCAGCAACGCUGCGGUGAAUACGUUCCCGGG
rnacentral:rRNA from 1 species